AACGCUAGCUACAGGCUUAACACAUGCAAGUCGAGGGGCAGCAUAAAAGUAGCAAUACUUUGGUGGCGACCGGCGCACGGGUGAGUAACGCGUAUGCAACCUACCUAUCAGAGGGGAAUAACCCGGCGAAAGUCGGACUAAUACCGCAUAAAACAGGGGCACCGCAUGGUGAUAUUUGUUAAAGAAAUUCGCUGAUAGAUGGGCAUGCGUUCCAUUAGGUAGUUGGUGAGGUAACGGCUCACCAAGCCGACGAUGGAUAGGGGAACUGAGAGGUUGGUCCCCCACACUGGUACUGAGACACGGACCAGACUCCUACGGGAGGCAGCAGUGAGGAAUAUUGGUCAAUGGGCGAGAGCCUGAACCAGCCAAGUCGCGUGAAGGAAGAAGGAUCUAUGGUUCGUAAACUUCUUUUGCAGGGGAAUAAAGUGCGGGACGUGUCCUGUUUUGUAUGUACCCUGAGAAUAAGGAUCGGCUAACUCCGUGCCAGCAGCCGCGGUAAUACGGAGGAUCCGAGCGUUAUCCGGAUUUAUUGGGUUUAAAGGGUGCGUAGGUGGUUUGAUAAGUCAGCGGUGAAAGUUUGCAGCUUAACUGUAAAAAUGCCGUUGAAACUGUCGGACUUGAGUGUAAAUGAGGUAGGCGGAAUGCGUGGUGUAGCGGUGAAAUGCAUAGAUAUCACGAAGAACUCCGAUUG
rnacentral:rRNA from 1 species